GGGGAAUUUUGGACAAUGGGCGCAAGCCUGAUCCAGCAAUGCCGCGUGCAGGAUGAAGGCCUUCGGGUUGUAAACUGCUUUUGUACGGAGCGAAAAGGUCUGCCCUAAUACGGUGGGCUCAUGACGGUACCGUAAGAAUAAGCACCGGCUAACUACGUGCCAGCAGCCGCGGUAAUACGUAGGGUGCAAGCGUUAAUCGGAAUUACUGGGCGUAAAGCGUGCGCAGGCGGCUAUGCACGACAGAGGUGAAAUCCCCGGGCUCAACCUGGGAACUGCCUUUGUGACUGCAUAGCUAGAGUACGGUAGGGGGGGAUGGAAUUCCGCGUGUAGCAGUGAAAUGCGAAGAUAUGCGGAGGAACACCGAUGGCGAAGGCAAUCCCCUGGGCCUGUACUGACGCUCAUGCACGAAAGCGUGGGGAGCAAACA
rnacentral:rRNA from 1 species